UGGGGAAUAUUGGACAAUGGGGGCAACCCUGAUCCAGCAAUGCCGCGUGUGUGAAGAAGGUUUUCGGAUUGUAAAGCACUUUCGGCGGGGACGAUGAUGACGGUACCCGCAGAAGAAGCCCCGGCUAACUUCGUGCCAGCAGCCGCGGUAAUACGAAGGGGGCUAGCGUUGCUCGGAAUGACUGGGCGUAAAGGGCGUGUAGGCGGUUUGUACAGUCAGAUGUGAAAUCCCCGGGCUUAACCUGGGAGCUGCAUUUGAUACGUGCAGACUAGAGUGUGAGAGAGGGUUGUGGAAUUCCCAGUGUAGAGGUGAAAUUCGUAGAUAUUGGGAAGAACACCGGUGGCGAAGGCGGCAACCUGGCUCAUAACUGACGCUGAGGCGCGAAAGCGUGGGGGAGCAA
rnacentral:rRNA from 1 species